rnacentral:lncRNA from 1 species
AAAGGCAACUCAAUUUCGGCAAACGGGGCAUCGAAGUCGGAAUGUCGCGAAACUCACCAAUUCAAAGCGUUUCGCCCUUUGCAGAAGAAGUGUGAUGUGGACCAAGUAGCAGAAGCAUACAUGCUCAAGAGGGAUCACCCGAAAUUCAAAGGCAGCUGAAUUUCGGCAACCGGGGCAUCGAAGUCGGAAAGUCGGGAAACUCACCGAGUUAAAGCGUUUCUCCGUUAGCGAAAGAAGUUUGAUGUGGAACAAGUACUAGAAGCAUACAUAUUCAAGAGGGAUCACCCGAAAUUCAAAUGCAACUCAAUUUCGGCAACCGGGGCAUCGAAGUCGGAAUGCCGCGAAACUCACCGAUUCAAAGCGUUUCGCCGUUUGCGGAAGAAGUUUGAUGUGGAACAAGUACCAGAAGCAUACAU